rnacentral:rRNA from 1 species
GACGAACGCUGGCGGCGUGCUUAACACAUGCAAGUCGAACGGAAAGGCCCUGCUUGCCGGGUACUCGAGUGGCGAACGGGUGAGUAACACGUGGGUGAUCUGCCCUGCACUUCGGGAUAAGCUUGGGAAACUGGGUCUAAUACCGGAUAGGAGCCAUCUUUAGUGUGGUGGUUGGAAAGUUUUUUCGGUGUAGGAUGAGCUCGCGGCCUAUCAGCUUGUUGGUGGGGUAAUGGCCUACCAAGGCGGCGACGGGUAGCCGGCCUGAGAGGGUGUACGGCCACAUGGGGACUGAGAUACGGCCCAGACUCCUACGGGAGGCAGCAGCGGGGAAUAUUGCACAAUGGGCGCAAGCCUGAUGCAGCGACGCCGCGUGGGGGAUGAAGGCCUUCGGGUUGUAAACUCCUUUCGCUAGGGACGAAGCUUUUUUGUGACGGUACCUAGAGAAGAAGCACCGGCUAACUACGUG